rnacentral:rRNA from 1 species
UACAGAGGUCUCAAGCGUUGUUCGGAUUCAUUGGGCGUAAAGGGUGCGUAGGUGGCGCCGUAAGUCGGGUGUGAAAUUUCGGAGCUUAACUCCGAAACUGCAUUCGAUACUGCGGUGCUUGAGGACUGGAGAGGAGACUGGAAUUCAUGGUGUAGCAGUGAAAUGCGUAGAGAUCAUGAGGAAGACCAGUGGCGAAGGCGACCAUCUGGACGGAUACUGACGCUGAGACGCGAAAGCGUGGGUAGCAAACAGG